CAGCAGUAGGGAAUCUUCCACAAUGGACGAAAGUCUGAUGGAGCAACGCCGCGUGAACGAUGAAGGCCUUCGGGUCGUAAAGUUCUGUUGUAAGGGAAGAACAAGUGCCGCAGGCAAUGGCGGCACCUUGACGGUACCUUGCGAGAAAGCCACGGCUAACUACGUGCCAGCAGCCGCGGUAAUACGUAGGUGGCAAGCGUUGUCCGGAAUUAUUGGGCGUAAAGCGCGCGCAGGCGGCCUCUUAAGUCUGAUGUGAAAGCCCCCGGCUCAACCGGGGAGGGCCAUUGGAAACUGGGAGGCUUGAGUAUAGGAGAGAAGAGUGGAAUUCCACGUGUAGCGGUGAAAAUGCGUAGAGAUGUGGAGGAACACCAGUGGCGAAGGCGACUCUUUGGCCUAUAACUGACGCUGAGGCGCGAAAGCGUGGGGAGCAAACAGGAUUAGAUACCCUGGUAG
rnacentral:rRNA from 1 species